CAGUAGCCGCGGGAAUACGAAGGGGGCUAGCGUUGCUCGGAAUCACUGGGCGUAAAGGGAGCGCAGGCGGUUUAGUAAGUCUGAAGUUAAAGGCAUUGGCUCAACCAAUGUAUGCUUUGGAAACUGUUAGACUUGAGUGCAGAAGGGGAGAGUGGAAUUCCAUGUGUAGCGGUGAAAUGCGUAGAUAUAUGGAGGAACACCGGUGGCGAAAGCGGCUCUCUGGUCUGUCACUGACGCUGAGGCUCGAAAGCGUGGGUAGCGAACAGGAUUAGAUACCCGGGUAGUCCCUGUCUCUUAUACA
rnacentral:rRNA from 1 species